rnacentral:ncRNA from 1 species
GUUCUCAGGGCGGGGUGAAAGUCCCCACCGGCGGUAAUCGUGCUCAGCACGUAGCCCGCGGGCACUUGAGUCGGUGUUUAAAAACAUAGACUCAAGGUUAGCAGACUCGGUGCGAUUCCGAGGCCGACGGUUAUAGUCCGGUUAUGAGAGUGC